rnacentral:rRNA from 1 species
GACGAACCGUGCGAACGUUAUUCGGAAUCACUGGGCUUAAAGGGCGCGUAGACGGGCGACCGCGUCGACGGCUGAAAGCCCCCGGCUCAACCGGGGAACGGGCCUCGAUACGGGUCGCCUCGAGGGGAGGAGGGGGACCUGGAACUUCCGGUGGAGCGGUGAAAUGCGUUGAGAUCGGAAGGAACGCCCGUGGCGAAAGCGAGGUCCUGGACUCCCACUGACGUUGAGGCGCGAAAGCCAGGGGAGCGAACGG